rnacentral:rRNA from 1 species
UACGAAGGGGGCUAGCGUUGCUCGGAAUCACUGGGCGUAAAGCGCACGUAGGCGGCUUUUAAGUCAGGGGUGAAAUCCUGGAGCUCAACUCCAGAACUGCCUUUGAUACUGAGGAUCUUGAGUUCGGGAGAGGUGAGUGGAACUGCGAGUGUAGAGGUGAAAUUCGUAGAUAUUCGCAAGAACACCAGUGGCGAAGGCGGCUCACUGGCCCGAUACUGACGCUGAGGCACGAAAGCGUGGGGAGCAAGCAGG